AUACCUUUCUUGGCCUCUGGCUAAGAUCAAGUGUAGUAUCUGUUCUUAUCAGUUUAAUAUCUGAUAUUGUAGCCUACGGGUGCAUGAUAUUAAAUUAAUCUUUUGUGGGGGAGUUCUCAGCAGCUUGCCGCUGGGUUUCUCAAGCGUCGACAUUGCGUUGCACCACAGCUCUGGCCAGCGCACCCCAA